AACGAACGCUGGCGGCAGGCCUAACACAUGCAAGUCGAGCGCCCAGCAAUGGGAGCGGCAGACGGGUGAGUAACACGUGGGAACCUUCCCUAUAGUACGGAAUAGCCCAGGGAAACUUGGAGUAAUACCGCAUACGCCCGAGAGGGGAAAGAUUUAUCGCUAUAGGAUGGGCCCGCGUAGGAUUAGCUAGUUGGUGAGGUAAUGGCUCACCAAGGCGACGAUCCUUAGCUGGUCUGAGAGGACGACCAGCCACACUGGGACUGAGACACGGCCCAGACUCCUACGGGAGGCAGCAGUGGGGAAUAUUGGACAAUGGGCGCAAGCCUGAUCCAGCCAUGCCGCGUGAGUGAUGAAGGCCUUAGGGUUGUAAAGCUCUUUUGCCGGGGACGAUAAUGACGGUACCCGGAGAAUAAGCUCCGGCUAACUCCGUGCCAGCAGCCGCGGUAA
rnacentral:rRNA from 1 species